rnacentral:lncRNA from 1 species
AAACAUCAAAGAUGGGAUUCGGAGGAUUGGGUGAGCCUCGUAUGCCUUGCUUCUCCAUCACUGGACGGAGAGCACUGGCCACCCAAUAGUAGCGCAUGAGGAAGCUGCACACCAUCCAUAGAACAGACAAUGCAAGCACGAGUGCGACAAGAAGAACCGAGAUGACAUCCAUUAUUGGUGAGGCAGAGCUGAGACGAGGGCCGUAGAGAAUUUAUACACCAGCAAGUA